rnacentral:lncRNA from 1 species
CGCCAUGAUGGGCCUGAUUCAUAAAACACUGCUGUUUCCAGACCUGUUUGUGUUUGUGAAAGUCUGGGACAAAGAUUUCGUUUGAAAUAAUGACAGGAGAAGCUGACCCAGUUCCAGUGGUGUGAGCUGGAAUGUUACAGAACGCUGCUCCUGGCCUGAGGCGCUUCCCGGGAAAACCACAACGUGCCGCAAUACAACGAUGCAGCAGUUAAGACAAAUGUCUCACACUUCCCCUCAGGACGAAGACACAUCUGCACAGACCACUGAGAGCCUGAGAAAACUUCUAAAGGGCUGUCUUUUGUCUUCUGACAUCUUUUGGAUAAUUAAACAUGCCAACGGACCCAGGAACACUCUUGCUGUUGCUGAGGAGGGUUAACAUGCAUUCUUGCUUAGACUUUUAUUAAAAAGGACAUAUUAUACAUCGUUUUACGCCUGGGUGAUAAUAUGCAAGAUUCCUUAUUGUGAAG